UACAUGGGGUGCAAACGUUGCUCGGAAUUAUUGGGCGUAAAGCGCGCGUAGGCGGUUCCUCAAGUCGGAUGUGAAAGCCCUCGGCUUAACUGAGGAAGUGCACCCGAAACUGAGUAGCUAGAGUACUAAAGAGGGUCGCGGAAUUCCCGGUGUAGAGGUGAAAUUCGUAGAUAUCGGGAGGAACACCGGUGGCGAAGGCGGCGACCUGGGUAGAUACUGACGCUGAGGCGCGAAAGCGUGGGGAGCAAACAGG
rnacentral:rRNA from 1 species